UAAUGCGGUAUUGGAGGUUUUGGGAAAAGCAAUAAGAUGAGAAUCUCGCCCAGAUAAAAAACAAAGGCUUGACAUAGGGGAGAUUGAGGUCUAAUCGUUCUAAUACAAGAAAAGUGAUUGAGUUCCAUGACAACUUUAAUGAGAAGAUUCUAAGAAAAAAUUUUGGUAGGAUUUUGGAAGAGUUUGGAGAAAAAAAACAAGAGCGAUAUGAAAGAAAGAAGAAAAGAGACUAGAGGAAGAAGCAGCCAUUCCAGAACGUUCAGGGACUUUUUAUUAGUUUCUAUUUACUAAAUUUAGACAGCAAAA